CGAACUUUUGGCGGUAAAACUAAAGAUAACAUAGGUUAAGAUCGUUAAUACUGCAUAGUCUAUGCCUAUGGUUUAUAGCAUAGAUUGUUUAUAGUUUAUAUUUUAUAUCGGUCUCUUCAUGGUCUCCAUAGAAUAGAUGGUGGUCCUUUUUUAUGAUUAUCAACGAUUAGCAACUUGCAAAGAUGGUGUUAUUCUUAACUUUAUGAGUUCAACUUAUCAUUUGAAUCAGGAGGAUAAUGGUAUCUCGUUAUCAGUGACAAAUGUCAAAAAACCAAAAUAACAUUUUAAUCGAUUUUCAAUUAUUGUGUUCAAUGAGUAAGCCUAAGCUCUUUUUGUAAAACAGUGAUGUCUUAUAGACAAAAGGCACCAGUUUAAGGUUAAUUUGUGAAGAUCCAGCAAGUGCAUGUCUAUUUAUCUUGAAUUUAACUCUGCAAAGGAUUUAAUCUACAUUUCAACAUGGCAUUUGCUGGACUGAAAAAGCAGAUAAACAAAUGCAAUCAAUAUGUCACCGAAAAAAUGGGUGGUGCAGAGGGUACAAAACUUGAUUUGGACUUCAUGGACAUGGAGAGGAAAACUGAUGUUACAUACGAAUUGGUGGAGGAAUUACAAGUGAAAACUAAAGAAUUCCUUCAACCUAAUCCAAACGCUCGAGCCAAAAUGGCUGCAGUAAAGGGAAUUAGCAAACUAAGUGGCCAAGCUAAGUCCAACACUUACCCUCAACCGGAAGGUGUUUUGGGAGAUUGUAUGUUGACUUAUGGGCGAAAGUUAGGGGACGACAGUAUGUUCGGACAAGCAUUAGUUGAAAUGGGGGAAGCAUUGAAACAAAUGGCCGAUGUGAAAUAUUCACUGGAUGACAAUAUCAAACAAAACUUUUUAGAACCUCUCCAUCAUUUACAUACAAAGGAUCUCAAAGAAGUGAUGCAUCACAGAAAGAAACUUCAGGGACGCAGGUUGGAUUUCGAUUGUAAAAAAAGACGCCAGGCUAAAGCAUUUAAAACUUCGGGAAGUCCCUAUAGCAGUCCAAUUAAGAGUCUGCACGGUUCGCACAUAAGUGAUGAUGAAAUUAAGACUGCAGAAGAUAAGUUUGCAGAGUCGCUGCAUUUAGCUCAAAUGGGAAUGUUUAAUUUAUUGGAAAACGAUGUAGAACAAAUUUCACAACUGGCUACUUUUGCAGAAGCCUUGUUAGAUUACCACAGCCAGUGUACAGAUAUUUUGAAAGGCAUAACAGAAACCAUACUUUUAAAAAAAGAUGAAGCGGCAAAUCGUCCGAAAAUGGAAUUCGUUCCCAAGACACUGCACGAUCUAGAAGGAGUGACCGACGGAUUUAAUGGUACAAGUAGCCAUUUCGCCCCUAAUAGUUUUCCAACGCAGCCCUUUAACCUUCCUCCCAGUCAUGUCUCAAAAGUUUCUAAUUACCGACCCUCACCCGACCCUUUCGAUUCAUGGAGUUUUCAAGGUUCUUCACUGUUGUCUUCUCCACAAAAUAAACCGCAUGUUCAGCUAGAUUUUGGACAACAAUCUGCAAAUGCUUCGCCAUUACCGUCCCCUAUGAAGUCACCCGCAAGAAGUCCCAUGACUCGAACCCCAUGUUGUACAGCGCUUUAUGACUUUGAGCCAGAAAAUCCUGGAGAAUUGGGAUUUAAGGAAAAUGAUGUUAUCACAUUAAUAAAUAAAAUUGAUGAAAAUUGGUUCGAGGGUAGUGUAAAUGGCCGUACCGGUUAUUUCCCCGUAACAUACGUCAAAGUGGAUGUUCCAUUACCAUGAGUUACUGGCUAGAGAUGUUACCAAAUUUUUAAUUUUGAUUUUUUUUAUUUAAAUAAAUUUAUUACCUACUUUAAUUUACAGAGAAAGAUGGCCUCCAUGUAGCUAUUAGAUAGGUAUUGAUCCAACAUUCUGUAUACAGUAAUCAACUUAAAUAUAGGUGUAAUUUGUGCAAAACGUUACGUUCGAAUUGAAUAUAAAAGCUUUUCAAAUCCUCUGAUCACUGCAUGAUAUGUAUGUAAAUAAUAUAAGUCGAAAUAUUAGUAGACAACAACUUUCGAAAUUACCAAAGUAAAUUAAAAAUGUUUAUUAUUAUUAUUGUUAUUCAAAACUGUAGGUUUUCAGUAAGCAUAUAUGUAAAAUGUUUUGUAACAACAACACUACACCAGAUGGGUAACAUAGAAAAUACAUGUAUAGUCUGAUAGGGUGAGUUAAAAUUAAGAAACUUAAGAAUUGUACAAAUUAUCAGAGGGGUAACAUGUUCGCGUUCAAAUUUUGAACUCGCUCAAUCAGCAAUAACUUUUGAAAAUAAACGUUUAAUUUUUCCAUCUGGUUAUACGACAAUACAUAGAUGUUAUAAAUAAGUAAAGGCUACUAUAUUCUUAUGAAAGUUGUCUUAAAAUGUAUCUCUGUUUUAAAUGCUUCUCGAGCUACAUCUUGCCUGUCAUUUAAAAUGUAUUUUCAACGUUUUCCAUGCCUGUUGCAUAAUAUAAGCGUCUAAAACUGUUAUUAAUACAUAUGUAUAAAAAACAAUAAGUAUUCUAUUCUCUGCAAAUACAUUCUGCGUGUCAAAAGCUGUGUGUUUAAUAAAAAGAAAUUAUAUGUUUGUGAAAGUUAUGCAUAUAAUAGAAAGAUUGCCAUUUUUUUUCUUUUUUUGUUCUUUGCUUCGUGCUUAAAUUUUUUUUAAAAGUCUGAUAAGAAAUUUGUGGUAAACUCAACACAGUUAUAAAACUGUUUUGUGUACCUUUAAUUUUAAAGUUCAACUGAUAUAUUGUUCUAUCAUUAAAAAACUGUAAAUUGUAUAAAUUUAACUUUUAAAAAUAUGUAUUUGUUAAAUUUAAAAUACGAACAGUUCCUAGAUUUAAUAGAAGGAGAUGUAUACCUAAUUGAUUACCAUUUGUAUGUAGAAUUGAAUUUUCAGUUCCACAUAUGCAAAUGAAUAUUGAUAUAUCAUGCAACUUGUGACACGUGAUUUACUGCAAAUUUUAUUCGUAAUGUUUCGAUUUUUUUAAAAAUUACUUAAGCAAUAACGACGUUUGUUUAUGUGCACAAUAUGCAAAGAAAGAAUAUAUGCCUAUAAUAUAAAUAAAUAUUGCUUAUUUUUGAAAAAAGCCGAACUUAAUUUUCUGUAAAAAGAUAGUUACCAAAUUUCUUAUAUGUAGUCUAUUUCCAAAAUACUAUAACUGUUAGACAAACAUAACAAAUGCAGUGUUAACGUUAAUAUGUAAUUGUGGAUCAAUUAAACAGUGUAGAAGAAUUA
rnacentral:misc_RNA from 1 species